AUGGGCAUAAGGGCUAUUGUAAUUCAAACAGAGAAGAGGCAGCUAGCAGGGGCCAUUCUGGACCCAAGGGGGCCAGAGGACAAGGACAGGCAGGACCAAUCCCUGGGCCCUAGGGUGGACCAAAGAGCAGAGACAGGUGACCGCAGGUCUGGAGGGCUCUGACAGGACCAGCCAGGGGCCCCAUUUCACGUGUGGUCCGUCCCACUCAGGUAUUCAGAGCACGGGGUCUGGAGGUCAGCGACGGGAGAGGUCAGCCUCCUCCAGCCACCCGCCCCGGCCUCGAAGGAGGGCCAGCCAGAGUCCCCUCCCCUCCCCUGGGGACCGCCUUCUCUGUUGCAGGCACAGUGAAGGAGGUGGAGGUGCCACAGGCUGCCCUGGGCACCCCAGCUCCUGGGACGGGGACCAGUGGCCACUCGCCUGUGGUCGAGGAGGAGGGGGGCACCCCCGCGCCGGCACCAGGGCUCCUGCAGGUCACGGAGAGGCGGCAGCCCCUGAGCAGUGUCUCCUCCCUGGAGGUGCACUUCGACCUCCUGGACCUCACCGAGCUCACCGACAUGUCCGACCAGGAGCUGGCCGAGGUCUUCGCCGACUCUGACGACGAGAACCUGACCAGCGACUCGCCCACAGGCCUCCACCCGCUGCCCAGGGCCGGCUGUCUGCGCUCCCCUUCUUGGACACGCACCAGGGCAGAGCAGAAGCGGGAGAAGCAGCCUCUGGGCGACCCGGAGCGGCAGCCUGCCGUUGCAGACACGUUUCUGACCGUGGAGAGGCCCAAAGAGGACUAGGCCAGCUGGCCGCAGGGCCGAGGCCCCUGGACACUGCCCACCCCGUGUGGAUCCAGGCUGGGGCCUCAGGGCACCUCAGCAGCAGCUUGGCCCCGUGGCCUUACGUCCAGCCCCUUCCUGGUCCCUGGAUCAGGGACAAUGUUGGGGGAUGAGACGAGAGUGGCCUGGGUCUUCUGGAAACUUCUGUCUGCAGGACUGGUUUUCUUGUCAGCCACCAGACUUCCGGGUGGGUGUGGGGAGAGCAGAGGCACAGAGGGGAGAGGUACCUGGCGCCCUCUCCAGGGUCUCGGGGUUCCAGACUGUGAAGGGCCAUGCCGAGCUCCAGCCACAGAUGAGGGCAGGGCACUCAGUCUGGAAGCUCACCACCGUGACUCCAGCCCUGCCCCCUUCCUGCCGCCCAGGGCAGACCCCCAGCCCUGGUCCCUGUGUGACAGGGACCCUCCCCAGCCCAGGACACCAACCACACCCUGAUACUCAGGCUGCUGGGCAGGGGAGCAGCAGGCAGGGCUCAUCCUCUCCGCCCCUGCCUGACAGUCCCCGUGGCCGCCACACACACAUGCGCGCGCGCGUGCGCAUGGGUCUGCGUCCUGGCCAGCGUUCCAGCCGCUGUGCAAGAGCCCGAGGGGCACCCAGUGCUGCGUACCUGCCAGGGAACAGAACAGGCUCCUGUCGGACAGCAGGUCCAAGAACAGUUUUAAACGAAAGGUGUCCGCUUGCUUUUUGUCCCCAAGGCCACCAGCCCUGAUCCCUUACCCACAAGAACGUUUCUGCAGAAGUGGCUCCUCUGCUGGAGCCUAUGGAGCCCUGGGCACGUGGGGGCCUCUGUGAGCUCCACCAGCCCUGCCAGGAUGGGACCUGGACCGGAUGCCUCUUCUCCACAUGUGAGGGCAACACGGGUUCUUCCCUGCAAACUGACCCGGCAAGGGCAGCACACGUCCCCCCCAACCCAAUUCCUCUCCUUGCUGCAGCUUCUGCAUAACUCACUUCCAAAAAGCAGGAUUAAAACGUCACCCAUC
ensembl:lncRNA